GGCGGCGUAGCCAAGUGGCCUAAGGCGACGGUUUGCAAAACCGUUAUUCGGCGGUUCGAAUCCGCCCGCCGCCUCCA
rnacentral:tRNA from 3 species